CGUACAUCCAGAGAACUUAGCAGAGAUGCUUUGGUGCCUUCGGGAACUCUGAGACAGGUGCUGCAUGGCUGUCGUCAGCUCGUGUUGUGAAAUGUUGGGUUAAGUCCCGCAACGAGCGCAACCCUUAUCCUUUGUUGCCAGCGGCUCGGCCGGGAACUCAAAGGAGACUGCCGGUGAUAAACCGGAGGAAGGUGGGGAUGACGUCAAGUCAUCAUGGCCCUUACGGCCAGGGCUACACACGUGCUACAAUGGCGCAUACAAAGAGAAGCGACCUCGCGAGAGCAAGCGGACCUCAUAAAGUGCGUCGUAGUCCGGAUUGGAGUCUGCAACUCGACUCCAUGAAGUCGGAAUCGCUAGUAAUCGUAGAUCAGAAUGCUACGGUGAAUACGUUCCCGGGCCUUGUACACACCGCCCGUCACACCACGGGAGUGGGUUGCAAAAGAAGUAGGUAGCUUAACCUUCGGGAGGGCGCUUACCACUUUGUGAUUCAUGACUGGGGUGAAGUCGUAACAAGGUAGGCGUAGCGAG
rnacentral:rRNA from 1 species